rnacentral:rRNA from 1 species
AGAGUUGAGUCCUGCGUCAGGACGAACGCUGGCGGCACGCUUAACACAUGCAAGUCGAACGGACUUGAGAGGGCUUGCUCUCUUAAGUUAGUGGCGGACGGGUGAGUAACACGUGAGCAACCUGCCUUUAAGAGUGGGAUAACGUCGGAAACGACCGCUAAUACCGCAUAACAUACACGAACCGCAUGGUUUGUGUAUCAAAGAUUUAUCGCUUAAAGAUGGGCUCGCGUCUGAUUAGCUUGUUGGUGAGGUAACGGCUCACCAAGGCGACGAUCAGUAGCCGUACUGAGAGGUAGAACGGCCACAUUGGGACUGAGACACGGCCCAGACUCCUACGGGAGGCAGCAGUGGGGAAUAUUGCACAGUGGAGGAAACUCUGAUGCAGCGAUGCCGCGUGAGGGAAGAAGGUUUUCGGAUUGUAAACCUCUGUCUUAAGGGACGAUAAUGACGGUACCUUAGGAGGAAGCUCCGGCUAACUACGUG